UACGGAGGGUGCAAGCGUUAUCCGGAUUCACUGGGUUUAAAGGGUGUGUAGGCGGGUGUUUAAGUCAGUGGUGAAAUCUCCAGGCUCAACCUGGAAACUGCCAUUGAUACUAUUCAUCUUGAAUUCUGUUGAGGUGGGCGGAAUAUAUCAUGGUAGCGGUGAAAUGCUUAGAUAUGAUAUAGAACACCGAUUGCGAAGGCAGCUCACUAAACGCGAUUGACGCUGAG
rnacentral:rRNA from 1 species